AGUACCCAGAGUAACAAUCUGUGAGCUGUUAGAUUAUGGUUAGGGUCCGUUAGUUAUGCUUCCCUUCAGAAAGCAUAAAACAUUGACUCGUUUGUUAUGCUCUUUUUCUUUUUUUUCGCGCCUUGCAUUUUUUAUGACAGCUGAAAAUAGAAACAGCAUUCUUUUCAUUCAUUUCAUGCUGUCUUCUCGGUGCGCUUUGCGAGUGCUCUCGGUGCUUAUCUUCGACAAAAUGGCGAUGUUGGAAUGCUUUUUUUUUCAAGAUUCGUGGUCGUGGCUACAAAGCGAAAGGGUUCAUGGAGGAUGCGUUGUCGAUAGCAAGAGGCCUCGGCAGUUCUCGGAAGAGCGAGUCAAAGGCAACCGAUUCAGGGCUGCUCGCAGAUUAUCACUUGGCGACAGAAGAUUUUCUUCAAGACAACCGCGCGGCCUGUUCCGACAACUUCUGCAAAUUUUGCGCUUCAAGCUUACGACGAAGAUACAGACACGUCACAAUCGCAGAGCUGGAGAACCACAAGCGCAUAUAGUUAAGUCCUGCUUACAACAGCGUAUAUAGCUAAAACUAUGGCUCCUAAGAUCAGCAGGAUAUGGUGCGCUUGAAGGGGAAGGUGGGGAUUCUCCUAAAAGGAUAUAAUUAGAUGACAGAAUCAACAUAGGAUUAGGGAUCAAUGGUAGCCCCAACUACAACCCAUCCGCACGUUCUUCCUCCGGUGGUCAUGGAUUCUCCACCGCCAGCACCGAUGGACUGCGCUUCAAGGCUUUCCCAUCAAACCACUCGUCAGUUACUUCCACUUCGGAAAGCGUCGUAUCUUGAAAGAAAUUGCUAGGAAACGGUUAAUGGAUCCUUUAAAUUUACCAGAACUUAAACUCGAAAAACAAGAUCAAGUAUAUCGCCUGGUUCGCCGCCACCUGAUCUAUUUCAACAGCUUCCACCCCAAUACAAAAAUUAGAUUUACGUGCUGCUUCCAAAAUGACCCCCUUUCGUGCAAUGGUACCUUCGGGUACGCCUUCUGGUAGCGCUAGCA